rnacentral:rRNA from 1 species
CCUACGGGAGGCAGCAGUGAGGAAUAUUGGUCAAUGGACGAGAGUCUGAACCAGCCAAGUAGCGUGAAGGAUGACUGCCCUAUGGGUUGUAAACUUCUUUUAUAUGGGAAUAAACUGUUCCACGUGUGGGAUUUUGUAUGUACCAUAUGAAUAAGGAUCGGCUAAAUCAGUGCCAGCAGCCGCGGUAAUACGGAGGAUCCGAGCGUUAUCCAGAUUUAUUGGGUUUAAAGGGUGCGUAGGCGUACAGUCAAGUCAGCGGUAAAAAUGAGGUGCUCAACGCCGUACAGCCGUUGAAACUGGCAGUGUUGAGUGGGCGAGAGGUAUGCGGAAUGCGGUGUGUAGCGGUGGAAUGCAUAGAUAUCACGCAGAACUCCGGUUGCGAAGGCAGCAGACCGGCGCCCUACUGACGCUGAGGCACGAAAGCGUGGGUAUCGAACAGGAUUAGAUACCCCUGUAGUC